rnacentral:rRNA from 1 species
GACGAACGCUGGCGGCGUGCCUAAUACAUGCAAGUCGAACGCAGUGGGGACGGGUGAGUAACACGUGGGUAACCUCCCAUCAGAGGGGAUAACACUUGGAAACAGGUGCUAAACCGAUACUGAUUGAUGGACCCGCGGUGCAUUAGCUAGGUGGUGGGGUAACGGCUCACCAAGGCCACGAUGCAUAGCCGACAUGAGAGGGUGAUCGUCCAAACUGGGACUGAGACACGGCCCAGACUCCUACGGGAGGCAGCAGUAGGGAAUAUUCGGCAAUGGGCGAAAGUCUGACCGAGCAACGCCGCGUGAGUGAAGAAGGUUUUAGGGUCGUAAAACUCUGUUGUUAGAGAAGCGGUAUCUAACCAGAAAGCAACGGCUAACUACGUGCCAGCAGCCGCGGUAAUUC